rnacentral:rRNA from 1 species
CCUACGGGGUGCAGCAGUGGGGAAUAUUGGACAAUGGGGGGAACCCUGAUCCAGCGACGCCGCGUGAGUGAAGAAGUAUUUCGGUAUGUAAAGCUCUAUCAGCAGGGAAGAAAGAAAUGACGGUACCUGACUAAGAAGCCCCGGCUAACUACGUGCCAGCAGCCGCGGUAAUACGUAGGGGGCAAGGGUUAUCCGGAUUUACUGGGUGUAAAGGGAGCGUAGACGGCGAUGCAAGUCUGAAGUGAAAGGCGGGGGCCCAACCCCUGGACUGCUUUGGAAACUGUAUGGUGGGAGUGCAGGGGAGGUAAGUGGAAGUCCUAGUGUAGCGGUGAAAUGCGUAGAUAUUAGGAGGAACACCAGUGGCGAAGGCGGCUUACUGGACUGUAACUGACGUUGAGGCUCGAAAGCGUGGGGAGCAAACAGGAUUAGAUACCCCUGUAGUC